AGCGAACGCUGGCGGCAGGCCUAACACAUGCAAGUCGAACGAACCUUUCGGGGUUAGUGGCGGACGGGUGAGUAACACGUGGGAACGUGCCUUUAGGUUCGGAAUAACUCAGGGAAACUUGUGCUAAUACCGAAUGUGCCCUUCGGGGGAAAGAUUUAUCGCCUUUAGAGCGGCCCGCGUCUGAUUAGCUAGUUGGUUGAGGUAAUGGCUCACCAAGGCGACGAUCAGUAGCUGUUCUGAGAGGAUGAUCAGCCACAUUGGGACUGCGACACGGCCCACACUCCUACGGGAGGCAGCAGUGGGGAAUCUUGCGCAAUGGGCGAAAGCCUGACGCAGCCAUGCCGCGUGAAUGAUGAAGGUCUUAGGAUUGUAAAAUUCUUUCACCGGGGACGAUAAUGACGGUACCCGGAGAAGAAGCCCCGGCUAACUUCGUG
rnacentral:rRNA from 1 species